UUAGAUGCUGCUUCCGCAGAUCUGUGAAGGGCCUGUCAAGUAUCAGCUGUACUGCUUCUCGUCUCCAUGGGCUGAUAGACUCUCGAGAGACGGCAGACAAAUGACCCUCACCGUCCCCACCAUCCAACAACUCCUUAAUCAUGGCCCCUGAAAAGCUCUUGAUCCCUACCAUAACAAGACCACCCCCAUCAGCAAUCACUCGCAGGCGUGGGGAUAAUUAGCAUGUUGAAUGCAUGGAUGACGAAAGAUCUGGAAAGCAUCUGUGGAAUCUGUGAAUCAACCUCCAUGCUGUGAAUCAUCUGCAGUUCCUUAGGCAGCAUAUGCGACCACACAUUUCCUUGUGCCCUAAGCUACGUAUUGUAGGUGACACUCUGUUAGACAA